GAUGAAGAACGUAGUGAAAUGCGAUAAGUAAUGUGAAUUGCAGAAUCCUGUGAAUCAUCGAAUCUUUGAACGCACAUUGCGCCCGCCAGCAUUCUGGCGGGCAUGCCUGUUCGAGCGUCAUUUCAACCCUCGACCUCCCCUUGGGGAGGUCGGCGUUGGGGACCGGCAGCACACCGCCGGCCCUGAAAUGGAGUGGCGGCCCGUCUGCGGCGACCUCUGCGUAGUAAUACAGCUCGCACCGGAACCCCGACGCGGCCACGCCGUAAAACACCCAACUUCUGAACGUUGACCUCGAAUCAGGUAGGACUACCCGCUGAACUUAAGCAUAUCAAUAAGCGGAGGA
rnacentral:misc_RNA from 1 species